rnacentral:rRNA from 1 species
UACAGAGGAUGCAAGCGUUAUCCGGAAUUAUUGGGCGUAAAGCGUCUGUAGGUGGCUUUUUAAGUCCGCCGUCAAAUCCCAGGGCUCAACUCUGGACAGGCGGUGGAAACUACCAAGCUGGAGUACGGUAGGGGCAGAGGGAAUUUCCGGUGGAGCGGUGAAAUGCGUAGAGAUGUGGAGGAACACCGAUGGCGAAGGCAGCCUCCUGGGUCAAUAUUGACGCUCAGGCACGAAAGCGUGGGGAGCAAACAGG